ACGACUACACUCCUACGGGAGGCAGCAGUGGGGAAUUUUGGACAAUGGGGGCAACCCUGAUCCAGCAAUGCCGCGUGUGUGAAGAAGGUCUUCGGAUUGUAAAGCACUUUAAGUUGGGAGGAAGGGCAUUAACCUAAUACGUUGGUGUCUUGACGUUACCGACAGAAUAAGCACCGGCUAACUCUGUGCCAGCAGCCGCGGUAAUACAGAGGGUGCAAGCGUUAAUCGGAAUUACUGGGCGUAAAGCGCGCGUAGGUGGUUUGUUAGGUUGAAUGUGAAAUCCCCGGGCUCAACCUGGGAACUGCAUCCAAAACUGGCAAGCUAGAGUAUGGUAGAGGGUAGUGGAAUUUCCUGUGUAGCGGUGAAAUGCGUAGAUGUAGGAAGGAACACCAGUGGCGAAGGCGACCACCUGGACUGAUACUGACACUGAGGUGCGAAAGCGUGGGGAGCAAACAGGAUUAGAAACCCUAGUAGUCCACCAAUCC
rnacentral:rRNA from 1 species